rnacentral:rRNA from 1 species
GAUGAACGCUAGCGGCAGGCCUAAUACAUGCAAGUCGAGGGGUAACAGGAAGUGCUUGCACUUCGCUGACGACCGGCGCACGGGUGAGUAACGCGUAUACAAUCUGCCUCAUACUAGAGGAUAGCCCGAAGAAAUUUGGAUUAAGACUCUAUAGUAUCAUUUAAAGACAUCUUUUUAUGAUUAAAGGUUACGGUAUGAGAUGAGUAUGCGUUCUAUUAGUUUGUAGGUGAGGUAACGGCUCACCUAGACUGCGAUAGAUAGGGGCCCUGAGAGGGGGACCCCCCACACUGGUACUGAGACACGGACCAGACUCCUACGGGAGGCAGCAGUAAGGAAUAUUGGUCAAUGGACGAAAGUCUGAACCAGCCAUGCCGCGUGCAGGAUGAAUGCCCUAUGGGUUGUAAACUGCUUUUAUAUAGGAAGAAAAACUUUCUCGUGAGAAAGCUUGACGGUACUAUAAGAAUAAGGAUCGGCUAACUCCGUGCCAGCAGCCGCGGUAAUACGGAGGAUCCAAGCGUUAUCCGGAAUUAUUGGGUUUAAAGGGUCCGUAGGUGGAUAAUUUAGUCAGAGGUGAAAUCCUGCAGCUUAACUGUAGAAUUGCCUUUGAUACUGGUUAUCUUGAGUUAUUAUGAAGUGAUUAGAAUGUGUAGUGUAGCGGUGAAAUGCAUAGAUAUUACACAGAAUACCGAUUGCGAAGGCAGAUCACUAAUAAUCAACUGACACUGAGGGACGAAAGCGUGGGUAGCGAACAGGAUUAGAUACCCUGGUAGUCCACGC